UUUUGCUGAAACAAAAGAUAAGCUAACAAAACUAGGAUGGGACUUAAGGUGAAUUCAAGCUUGAGCUUGGAACCGACAGUAUCCAAAAAAGAUGAAAGAUUGUUAUAAACAUGGCAAUAUACUUACGAGUUAAUUGCACCUAAUGGUUUUGCCUCUCAGUCUGAGGACUCCUUAAUAGUUGAUUCCAAGUUCGAACAAGGAAUACAUGUUCCAUUGAUCAACACCCCGGACUUUAUGAAUCUCAUAUACCUUUCUUCUUCAAAGAACAAAAUGGUUCGAAGAAAUUGGAGAGAACGAGCAUUAUAUAUCUGUAGAAAGCCCAACUAAAGGUUUAAUAUAGAUACACAGCUUGACGUAAACAUUAAUAUUCCCCAAUAACACAUAUUUACACUACACAAGUACAAGGAGCUUACCCCUUAGAGACCUUAUUAAUGAACAAACUCCAUCCAUCUCUUGGCUCAAGGGAUACAUAUACAUAUCAACAAACUCCAUUCAUCUCGCUCUUGUUUAAGCAGAGAUCUAUUGGCCAAAGGAGCCUAGAGAAGCCAACUUAGCGUUGGCUAGGCCACAAGAAGGCCCCCAUGGCAUAUGCCCUCUUCUCCUCAAGGGGUCCAUCAAAAGACAAACCGUACUCCCUUAGCAGCAGAUCCAACCUCCAGUCCUCCAUUUUAUCAUAGUCCUCCUUAUUGUAGCGGGGGUAGUGGAGUGGCACUUGAAAACUAGAGCUCAAACUCUGAUUCCUUCCACUCACUGAGCUCUCGCUAUCUCCAUCAGGGCAGCUAAGCAUCUUCCCUUGGUUCACUUUGUCUUCUUUUGGAUACUCCUUGGUUGGGUGUCCAACUAUUUGGGUACUAGUUGCUCGGAGGAACCAUUGGAGAGCCAUCUCUUUUUAUCUUCUUCGAGUCAAAGGGAGAGAGGGGGAA
rnacentral:lncRNA from 1 species